AGUGAACGCUGGCGGCAGGCCUAACACAUGCAAGUCGAGCGGCAGCGGGUUCCCGCGAGGGGAUGCCGGCGAGCGGCGGACGGGUGAGGAACACAUCGGAAUCUGCCUGGUCGUGGGGGAUAACGUAGGGAAACUUACGCUAAUACCGCAUGCGACCCUGAGUCGACGGACUGGGGGUGAAAGUGAGGGACCUUCGGGCCGUCACGCGACCAGAUGAGCCGAUGUCGGAUUAGCUAGUUGGCGGGGUAACGGCCCGCCAAGGCGACGAUCCGUAGCUGGUCUGAGAGGGCGACCGGCCACACUGGGACGUGAGACACGGCCCACGACUCCUACGGGAGGCAGCAGUGGGGAAUCUUGCGCAAUGGGCGAAAGCCUGACGCAGCGACGCCGCGUGA
rnacentral:rRNA from 1 species